rnacentral:rRNA from 1 species
GUCGAACGGAGAAAUGAUUUCGGUUAUUUUCUUAGUGGCGGACGCGUGAGUAACACGUGAGGAACCUGCCUUUGAGAGUGGGAUAGCUUCUGGAAACGGAUGGUAAUACCGCAUAACAUAGCGAAACCGCAUGAUUUUGCUAUCAAAGUAUUUCGCUCAGAGAUGGCCUCGCGUCUGAUUAGAUAGUUGGUGAGGUAACGGCUCACCAAGUCGACGAUCAGUAGCCGGACUGAGAGGUUGAACGGCCACAUUGGGACUGAGACACGGCCCAGACUCCUACGGGAGGCAGCAGUGGGGGAUAUUGCACAAUGGGGGAAACCCUGAUGCAGCGAUGCCGCGUGGAGGAAGAAGGUUUUCGGAUUGUAAACUCCUGUCGUAAGGGAAGAGGAAGGACUGUACCUUACAAGAAAGCUCCGGCUAACUACGUGCAGCAGCCGCGGUAAUACGCAGGGAGCGAGCGUUGUCCGGAAUGACUGGGUGUAAAGGGAGCGUAGGCGGGAUGGCAAGUCAGAUGUGAAACCUGUGGGCUCAACCUUCAGACUGCAUUUGAAACUGCUGUUCUUGAGUGAAGUAGAGGUAAGCGGAAUUCCUGGUGUAGCGGUGAAAUGCGUAGAGAUCAGGAGGAACAUCGGUGGCGAAGGCGGCUUACUGGGCUUUUACUGACGCUGAGGCUCGAAAGCGUGGGGAGUAAACAGGAUUAGAUACCCUGGUAGUCCACGCUGUAAACGAUGAUUACUAGGUGUGGGGGGAUUGACCCCUUCCGUGCCGCAGUUAACACAAUAAGUAAUCCACCUGGGGAGUACGACCGCAAGGUUGAAACUCAAAGGAAUUGACGGGGG